CCUACGGGAGGCUGCAGUGAGGAAUAUUGGUCAAUGGGCGCGAGCCUGAACCAGCCAAGUAGCGUGAAGGAUGACUGCCCUACGGGUUUUAAACUUCUUUUAUAAAGGAAUAAAGUGAGGCACGUGUGCCUUUUUGUAUGUACUUUAUGAAUAAGGAUCGGCUAACGCCGUGCCAGCAGCCGCGGUAAUACGGAGGAUCCGCGCGUUAUCCGGAUUUAUUGGGUUUAAAGGGAGCGUAGAUGGGUUGUUAAGUCAGUUGUGAAAGUUUGCGGCUCAACCGGAAAAUUGCAAUUGAUACUGGCAGUCUUGAGUACAGUUGAGGUAGGCGGAAUUCGUGGUGUAGCGGUGAAAUGCUUAGAUAUCACGAAGAACUCCGAGUGCGAAGGCAGCUUACUAAACUGCCACUGACAUUGAUGCUCGAAAGUGUGGGUAGCAAACAGGAUUAGAUACCCGGGUAGUC
rnacentral:rRNA from 1 species